rnacentral:rRNA from 2 species
GGUUAAGCGACUAAGCGUACACGGUGGAUGCCCUGGCAGUCAGAGGCGAUGAAGGACGUGCUAAUCUGCGAUAAGCGUCGGUAAGGUGAUAUGAACCGUUAUAACCGGCGAUUUCCGAAUGGGGAAACCCAGUGUGAUUCGUCACACUAUCAUUAACUGAAUCCAUAGGUUAAUGAGGCGAACCGGGGGAACUGAAACAUCUAAGUACCCCGAGGAAAAGAAAUCAACCGAGAUUCCCCCAGUAGCGGCGAGCGAACGGGGAGCAGCCCAGAGCCUGAAUCAGUGUGUGUGUUAGUGGAAGCGUCUGGAAAGGCGUGCGAUACAGGGUGACAGCCCCGUACACAAAAAUGCACAUACUGUGAGCUCGAUGAGUAGGGCGGGACACGUGGUAUCCUGUCUGAAUAUGGGGGGACCAUCCUCCAAGGCUAAAUACUCCUGACUGACCGAUAGUGAACCAGUACCGUGAGGGAAAGGCGAAAAGAACCCCGGCGAGGGGAGUGAAAAAGAACCUGAAACCGUGUACGUACAAGCAGUGGGAGCACGCUUAGGCGUGUGACUGCGUACCUUUUGUAUAAUGGGUCAGCGACUUAUAUUCUGUAGCAAGGUUAACCGAAUAGGGGAGCCGAAGGGAAACCGAGUCUUAACUGGGCGUUAAGUUGCAGGGUAUAGACCCGAAACCCGGUGAUCUAGCCAUGGGCAGGUUGAAGGUUGGGUAACACUAACUGGAGGACCGAACCGACUAAUGUUGAAAAAUUAGCGGAUGACUUGUGGCUGGGGGUGAAAGGCCAAUCAAACCGGGAGAUAGCUGGUUCUCCCCGAAAGCUAUUUAGGUAGCGCCUCGUGAAUUCAUCUCCGGGGGUAGAGCACUGUUUCGGCAAGGGGGUCAUCCCGACUUACCAACCCGAUGCAAACUGCGAAUACCGGAGAAUGUUAUCACGGGAGACACACGGCGGGUGCUAACGUCCGUCGUGAAGAGGGAAACAACCCAGACCGCCAGCUAAGGUCCCAAAGUCAUGGUUAAGUGGGAAACGAUGUGGGAAGGCCCAGACAGCCAGGAUGUUGGCUUAGAAGCAGCCAUCAUUUAAAGAAAGCGUAAUAGCUCACUGGUCGAGUCGGCCUGCGCGGAAGAUGUAACGGGGCUAAACCAUGCACCGAAGCUGCGGCAGCGACGCUUAUGCGUUGUUGGGUAGGGGAGCGUUCUGUAAGCCUGUGAAGGUGUGCUGUGAGGUAUGCUGGAGGUAUCAGAAGUGCGAAUGCUGACAUAAGUAACGAUAAAGCGGGUGAAAAGCCCGCUCGCCGGAAGACCAAGGGUUCCUGUCCAACGUUAAUCGGGGCAGGGUGAGUCGACCCCUAAGGCGAGGCCGAAAGGCGUAGUCGAUGGGAAACAGGUUAAUAUUCCUGUACUUGGUGUUACUGCGAAGG